GUAGGGUGAGAGCGAGUGUUGAGCCUCUCCCUGUCCUCCUGGCUUCCCAGAAAGAGGUGAGUACAUACAGAGAAUGGACAAACAUUUCAACAGGCGGUGCUUUCCCCAGACCUCUGUCUGCCUCUGUGUGUAAUCGUCCUCCAUAGCACUGGCCACACAAGCAUUCAUCUGAGAUCUCUGGGAUGACUAGCCUUCACCCAAACUGUUCCCUCUGCCAGAAGUCUGUCUCCUCCCUUGGAUACACAUGAUGGCAUGGUGCAGCCUGCUCAGGCUUCUGUCUUGGAAAUGGCUCCUGCCAACAGUUCUCAAAGAUGGCCACCACUGCUUCCUACCUGCGAGUAUUCACUUCCUCACUAAACCAACUCCACAGCGUGGCUAGGAUGUCGUGCCUGGCUUGGAAAGGCUGCAGCACAGCACUGUGAUGCCACUUUCAAUGUGACUUCCCUCUCUCAAAGCUGGCACUGCCCCCGGUUCCCACUGCUCUGAUGAAGCCAGCAGCUGGCCUUGAGCUACACUAUAGAGAGGCCCAGCUGGCAGGACCUAGAGGUAGCCUGUUGUCAAUAGCUAGUACCCACCAACAGCCAUAGGAGCCGGGGAGCAGAGUCUCCUAGUCAGCCUCAAGGUGACUGAAGCCCCAGCCAUUGGCUGGACGGUGGAAGCUCUGAAACACAGGUGUUCUGGGCCUGCAAUAAAGCUGUGAGCUCAUUCAUGGUUCUGC